rnacentral:lncRNA from 1 species
GACUAUUAAAAUUUGUAAUGCAGCCAUUAACAAUCCAAAUAAAUACAAAUCCCAUUAAAACCAAGAGAGUUUUUUCUUUUCACUUAAAAAUCACAUGUAGUAAACAUUCUAACAAACCAAAAUCCAUAAAGCUAUACAUUUCCAGAGAUUGGCACAAUAACAUAUUAGCUACAAGCCAAAAACUAUUUCAAAAAAAAAAUCCUAUGUGAGGUCACUUCAUUUACAAUCAGCAAAGCUGCCAAUGAGGAUCAGAGAAAAUGCAACUUGUAGGAAGCUAAAGUUGUCAUUAUACCAUGCCCAAGAACAAUGUGAAGUUGCACUUUUUUUAAUCAUCGAAAUCCAAAGAGUAUCUUAAAACUUCUGAAAUCAUUAUCAUCUGCACUAAGCUUUCAUUCCCCAUGUUGGUAUUGAAACUCUAUUAUAAUGUUUAUCAAGGAUGCGAUAUCAUCUUUGCCUGUUAUACUAAUCCUGUACGUCGUCGCCAACCAGAUAUAACAAAAUCCUGCAGCAAGAGAGAACAAAAAACUAGUAAAAUAGGUUGAAACCAGUUCUUCUAAACAUAAACAAGCGUAAUUUAUUUUGGUCGGAUCAACAUUACUCGAAACUGUAACCUUGUCGUGUUCUGAAUCUAUUAUGGUGGUAUAAACACCUAGCAGAAACCCAACAAAAUUCAUAGAAAAUCAACAUAUAAUUCAUUGUCAUUAUUCGUUCUCUUCAUUUACAUUGACACAGAAGAAUUCAUUGUCAUUAUUCUGUAGUGUGCACUUCAUAAAUCAAUUGAUGCACACAAUUUUUAAAACCUCGGUGCACACAAUGAUCAUCUUUUCUUUAAAAAUAGAAUCACAAAGACUGCGACAUUAUGAUGUAUUGUAUUGAAUUUCUACUUCAUAAAAAGUAGUAGCACUCCAUCCCGUUAUCCAUAAUAUCAAUAUAUAUACAUAUAGACAGACAUACAUAUAUGGUCAGGUGGGAUGAUUUCAAGUGAGCAUAAAUAAAUUCCAUUUCAUUCAAACCAAAACUCUUUUAAACUACCUUUUGUAACAGUAAGACGUUGUCAGGAUAAUGGAACAAAUAAUUUCAUAAAGAACCACCACUGUGACCGUGAUGAUACUAAUUCUUUCCUAAUGGAAUAUUCAUUUUCUUGAUGUGAUUUACAACUUAAUCAAUAAACUUCCCAAAUCGACUUUUUAAAAAUCGGCGCGAAGAACUAUCAGUCACAAAAAAAAACUCUAGAAUUUAGUCCCAAUCUUUCUAAAGGAAAAAGGGAAGAGUUUUUAAAUACAAAAUCAUACAUACCUUGUACCAACGAAGAUCUAAGCUAGAGAUUUGUAGAAAAAAAACCUAGAUCGAUUCGCCUUCGUCGUUGGAUCCCUAGUUUGAAGAUCGAAGAAUUAGUGAGCCAUGAACGAGGUUGGGAAGAAUUUUAAAUACAAAAUCAUGGCUUCGUCAUUAUGUGAAGAGAUCUGCAGAAGAUUGGCCAUCCUUUAUCGCUCUCUCUCUCUCUCUCUUUGAACUUCGACUUCUGAU